CCGUAAAAAAUGGUUGUUGUUCCUUCUGUCACCGCUUUGUUUGGUUAUAGUAAGCAUACCCUAACAGCGGGUACAUACAAACAUAUGUACAUGCAUAUUUGAGAAGAGUUUCCUGGAUCAGAUCUAGACUUGUUGCUAUUAUGUACUCAUAUACAACAUAUAUUUAUUUACAUUUCGGAUCUUGCAAGAGUAUACGAAGUCUCGACCAGUGAUGAACUCAUCUCGUUCCGGCUUUUAUAAUUUUUAUUCAGGACGGUAGCAAGUAAUAAUAGCAACAGAUUUUAUAGCCUUUUUAUGUGGCCAUAGUUUCGCUCCGCUUUUUACGAGUAUUUUAUAACUUGUUUACAUUAGGCGAGUGAGGAUAUGUAUGUACGGCAUGUACAUACAUACAUACAUAGUACAUACAUAUGUUGUGUGUAACUGGGAAGCUGGGAAGCGUUUUAUGCAAAAAUCCAUCGAGUCGCUUGCAUGCUGAAUAAAAAUGGCAAUAAAUCGUGGCAAGGGCUACGGAGACUUUUCUGAGAGUGGCCAGCUA
rnacentral:lncRNA from 1 species